GUGCCAGCCGCCGCGGUAAGACGAACCGUGCGAACGUUAUUCGGAAUCACUGGGCUUAAAGGGUGCGUAGGCGGGCGUCCAAGUCAGGGGUGAAAUCCCACGGCUCAACCGUGGAAGUGCCUCUGAUACUGGGCGCCUCGAGGGGUGCAGGGGCGUGCGGAACUCAGGGUGGAGCGGUGAAAUGCGUAGAUAUCCUGAGGAACACCGGUGGCGAAAGCGGCGCGCUAGACACCUUCUGACGCUGAGGCACGAAAGCCAGGGGAGCAAACGGGAUUAGAAACCCGCGUAGUCC
rnacentral:rRNA from 1 species